GAGGAAGAAAAUUGAGGUUUUACAUUCUGAAGUGCUAUUCCAUCUUUAAAAAUCAGAACUUUCUUUAUGCUUGAAUGUCCCAUUCCAUAUUUUAAUGUAAGUGUUUUUGAAUCAAGUAGAUUUCUUUGUUUUAUUUUUUUUACACAGGUAAUAUUUGAAUAUACGAUUGUUCAGAAAUAAUUGAAAGAUAUAGGCUUGGCAGCUCUUUGGGGGUUGGAAGAAGACCAUGAAGCUCUAAGUGCUUCAGAGGAAUGGGGUUGCCAAAACAGAUGUGAGCUACCCAGAGAGGAGGCUGGGCCAAUGCUGAAGGUCUAGAGAAAGAGAAGAUAUGUUCUCCACCACACACGACGUGUUGCAUCAGGGUAACCAUGGAUGUCAUCGUUGAGCCUAGGAAGUGCCAGGAAUAUGCUCUACUUGGACAAAUCCUGCCUCCCAGUGGGACCAGAGUCAAAACCUCAGUGACUUUCCAGGUUGAACCAAUUGAGAGAUUUUGAAACUAUUUUGAUCAGACUGGAAAGUUAGGGACCACCAUUGAAGAACUUGAGAGGUGACAAAUUCCACAGAAUAAAAGACAAGACCCUACAAUCAAAAGAAUUCACAGAUUAUAGUCACAAGCUAGAUAAGAAGAAAACACUGAACAGAAACAUCUCUAUACACUGACACAUACUUGUGAAAUUUAAGAUCAUCAAAGCCAAGAUUGUGCCAUUGCACUCCAGCCUGGGCAACAAGAGUGAAACUCCAUCUCAAAGAAAAAAA